CAGGGCCUCAGGAAGGAUACAGUGAGUCUGGGACUUGCAGAACUCAUUGUCUCUAGAACUGCAGUUGCUGAGACAUUUCAAUGCUUUAAACCAGUGCUUUUGUUUUGUCUGCAGAAAGGAAAAUUACACUUUUAGCUUAAGGUUUGAUAUGUCAGUCUUAAUACUCCAUGUGAUUUACUGAUUCCUUCAUUUCUAUGAAGUUACAGAAGACCUGAAGAUAUCAGUGCAUCCCAGAUGAUGGAGGUCUUAAAGAUCCAGACUCUUAAAAUAUCAACCAGAGCCCCUAAAAGCACUGCUGGCCUCAGAAGUUUGUGGUUGCAUUAUAAUUUCCUGUAACACCUUUUUCCCAG
rnacentral:lncRNA from 1 species